rnacentral:lncRNA from 1 species
GCUCAGUCUGUCCAUAGAAUAAAUCUCUGCAGUGAUGGUUUCGGGCGUAUCCCAUGCCCUCAGCAGAACUGAACAGUUUGUGGGCGCUCGAGCAGCGCAAUGGCAGCAGGGAGACAUAACUUGAGCUAGUCCUUGUACAAGUGCAGCGACACAUCAAGGAUUUUCGGCUCCAUCCUUUCACCACCUCGUUAUCUAAAGGGGUAAAAGAAAUGUGCAUGUUCAGGACAAUGAACAGACAGGAGCAUACCUGUCCAUAUGCAGGGAAAGAAAUUGCUCUCAGCUAGCGUUGCCAGUGUUUCUUAUGUGGAAGGAGAAGUGGAUCCUGAGUCAUGCACUCAGCCUGGGACCUUCCCAAGGGCUAUUUGUAGCCUCUUCACAUGGAACUUGAUCUUGUCACUGCCUUGCAAACCCUCCA